rnacentral:rRNA from 1 species
UACGUAGGGGGCGAGCGUUGUCCGGAAUUAUUGGGCGUAAAGAGCGUGUAGGCGGUUUGGUAAGUCUGCCGUGAAAACCCGGGGCUCAACCCCGGUCGUGCGGUGGAUACUGCCAGGCUAGAGGAUGGUAGAGGCGAGUGGAAUUCCCGGUGUAGCGGUGAAAUGCGCAGAUAUCGGGAGGAACACCAGUAGCGAAGGCGGCUCGCUGGGCCAUUCCUGACGCUGAGACGCGAAAGCUAGGGGAGCGAACAGG